rnacentral:rRNA from 1 species
UACGAGAGUGGCUCGCGUUGUUCGGAAUUACUGGGCGUAAAGCGCACGUAGGCGGCUCUGUAAGUUGGGGGUGAAAUCCCGGAGCUCAACACCGGAACUGCCUUCAAGACUGCAGAGCUGGAGGAUGCGAGAGGUGAGUGGAAUUCCGAGUGUAGAGGUGAAAUUCGUAGAUAUUCGGAAGAACACAAGUGGCGAAGGCGGCUCAUUGGCGCAUUUCUGACGCUGAGGUGCGAAAGCGUGGGGAGCAAACAGG